rfam:Brassica oleracea var. oleracea cultivar TO1000 chromosome C5, whole genome shotgun sequence
GGAAUAUAAGAAACCGUCUCUUAACUUUUAACUAAAAAACUAAGAACCGGCUCUUGAAUAAGAUAUUUAAGAACCAAUUCUUAGUUUUUUUAGUUAAAAGUUAAGAGACGGUUUCUUAUAUUCC